CGCUGCGUUUUGUCUUCUUUCGUCGGUUUGUCUUCGUUACUACGCUAAAGGGGUUGCUAACCGGAAGGAACGCCUGUCACAGUCGGCGGAGAAGUCGCCGGAGAUCGGAAUAAGCAGCGAUUCCGAGUAGCUCACAUCCAUACCAAGCAAUUUUGAGUAGAACAUUCCCCGGCUCGGAUCCUUUACUUGUUUGUCUGUGGCUCAAAUCUUGUCUUUACCAAGACGAGAUCGAAGGUACUGGAGGAGAGGAGGCCUCUUUGAUUGCCAUGGACAUAUUCAGAAUGCUGAGAUCAGAGACACGUUAUCUUCUGGUAGAACCACGAUUCUCAAAGAGCUAGAGAGCGUUGAUGCUAGCGGCGAGAAGCUAUACCCGAUGAUCCAAGAUGGUGUUGAUCCUGUCGAAGUUGAAUGCUUCAAAGAUUAUGUUAUGGAAUUGGGGACACAAGCUGAGUAUUUGUCUCAAGGGUUGGAUCAGUUACUGGAGGAAUUUGAUAGUUUCUUUAAACUGACUUUGAGCGGGCGUGAUGUGUUGCUCUGUAAUCUUAGGUCUAGUGACUCAAUCUCUGGCAAUGCAGUUGGAGAUGAUGUAUACAACUAAUACAGUGAGGUAUACAACUAAUGCAAAGUGUUUUCUAUU